rnacentral:lncRNA from 1 species
GAACUGGACUGACAUCCCAUUACUUUUCAUCAUUCUACAGGUUCUCUAUGUGAUCUUCACACUCUCAAACUCUACAGCCUCAUCUGGACCUUGGUGAGAGCCUCAACUUCUCCCUGUGUCCAUCUCCUCAAACCGUCAUCCACUCUAUUUCAGAAAAAAACCUGCCUUGGCUCUGGACCUGAUCACUGUGUUUGAGACCCCACCAAGGAGCCCCACACAGCAUCAUGUCUGUAUAGAUUCCUCUGUGUUUGAGAGUUCCUCUGUCAAGAAGGAUCUCUCAAGGUAUUUUUUAGAUUUUUUCCACUGUGUUUUUCUUGUUCUUCUCAUAUUUAGACUGGGUCUAUAAUACUUGUUAAAGCAGGUCACAUAGGUGAGAACAGCUCUGACAUCUCUUGUUCUCCAAUUUAAUUUUCUCAUUAGUACUGAACUAUUCAGCUGGCUGUGAGCAUGCUUUCCAGGGUCCUCAUUGUGAAAUUACUGUUCUUGUGUGUCCACAUUGUCUGUGUUCUAGAGGAAGUAAUGAUGCAGAGCCCACAUUUAAGGAAAAGGAAGUGAGCAUCACUUACAUAAUUGCUGUGUCUGCCUCAAUUGACUAAAAUUUUUC